rnacentral:lncRNA from 1 species
UCGGCCCGACGUGGCUUUGCUGGCUUCGGACGCCCACAUAAAAGGCGGCGCAGAGCCUGGACAAGGAUGGAGUGACCCACCCGCUCGACGCCCUUGGCCGCCUAGCCCUGCUCAGCCGAACCCCGCACGGCCGCUGCGGUGGGGGGAGGAAAGGUGAGGUGACGCCAAGUCCGAGUGCACGCCGGGGAAAUCGGAGCCGGAGUCGCCAUGGAGCGCGGCCGUCCCGCUAGCAGCCCACGCAGCGCGGAGUCCGCCGCGCCGCCCGCCGCCGCCCGCGACUGGAGCCCAGGACCGACCGGGACCGGGCCAACAGGCCUCAGCGGGGUCGCGGCGCGCUCCGGGGGUGGCCGUCCAGCCGCCGCGAACGCCGCGCGGGAGCGCAGCCGAGUGCAAACCCUGCGACACGCCUUCCUGGAGCUGCAGCGCACGCUGCCGUCGGUGCCGCCAGACACCAAGCUGUCCAAGCUGGACGUGCUGCUGCUGGCCACCACCUACAUCGCCCACCUCACCCGCAGCCUGCAGGACGACACCGACGCGCCCGGAGACCCCGGUCUGGGCGCCUUGCGAGGCGACGGCUAUC